rnacentral:tRNA from 1 species
CAAGACGUAGCUAUAACCCAAAGCAUUCAGCUUACACCUGAAAGAUAUCUGCCACUCAUCAGAUCGUCUUGA